GACGAACGCUGGCGGCGUGCCUAAUACAUGCAAGUAGAACGCGCAGUUUAUACCGUAGCUUGCUACACCAUAGACUGUGAGUUGCGAACGGGUGAGUAACGCGUAGGUAACCUGCCUGGUAGCGGGGGAUAACUAUUGGAAACGAUAGCUAAUACCGCAUAAUAUUAAUUAUUGCAUGAUAAUUAAUUGAAAGGUGCAAUUGCACCACUACCAGAUGGACCUGCGUUGUAUUAGCUAGUAGGUGAGGUAACGGCUCACCUAGGCGACGAUACAUAGCCGACCUGAGAGGGUGAUCGGCCACACUGGGACUGAGACACGGCCCAGACUCCUACGGGAGGCAGCAGCAGGGAAUCUUCGGCAAUGGACGAAAGUCUGACCGAGCAACGCCGCGUGAGUGAAGAAGGUUUUCGGAUCGUAAAGCUCUGUUGUAAGAGAAGAACGGGUGUGAGAGUGGAAAGUUCACACUGUGACGGUAUCUUACCAGAAAGGGACGGCUAACUACGUG
rnacentral:rRNA from 1 species